CGUUUAUCGUUAUGGUUACGGAUGGUUCCUCUUCUUCCUCUCACAUGGCAUGACACCAGUAAUAAUAACACAUUCCACUUUCCCAUCUCUGGUUUUUACAUUACAAUACAACCUUAACGCUCUUGUUCACGAAACACGCGCUUUUUCACAACCUUCGAAGUCUUUUUCGCAACCUUCGAAGUCAAAAGAUUCAGGCAUUCUAGUCCCGAGUAAGUCAUUGUAGAAGCCAUGGUUCUCGACUCCAUUUUGUCGUCUUCUCCUUGUCUGAAGUCACCAUCUUUCAGUAGGCAGUUUGCAAGGCAUGAACUGGGAAGUUGGUCAACACUCGUCAAGAGACACUGCUUCCUCUUAUCUGCUCUUGCUCUACUAACUGUCCUCUGUACCAUUUAUCUAUAUUUUGCAGUUACAUUCGCAGCCAAUGACUCCUGCUCUGGGUUGAGUGGAUCUCUGAGAGAUUCCUGUCAUAUGGAGCAUGUUAUGGAUUCUGAAGCCAAGAGUAAACUGAAAGGUCUGAGACAUUUAUGAUUUCCAAUUCAAGUUGUGCCGGAGAGUUUUUUUAUCUUUUCCUUUAGUAUAAUAUGUACUAUUUAUCCAUACUGUUUAUCUUAGUAUUUGUGAGCCAAAAUGUACAAUGUAUGUAGAAAGCAAUUUCUUGAAUGCUCAUUUGGGGGCUGCUUUCUGGGGUCUAAUAUAAGAUCAGUGAGCAUCCUGUUGAUGGUUAAUUCAAAACUUCAGAUUUCUCAUUUGUGAAAUACGUUUGGUUCAUUUUUAAAUAUGGACCUUUUCAUGAAGGAUCA